rnacentral:rRNA from 1 species
CCUACGGGAGGCAGCAGUGGGGAAUAUUGGGCAAUGGGCGAAAGCCUGACCCAGCAACGCCGCGUGAAGGAAGAAGGCUUUCGGGUUGUAAACUUCUUUUGACAGGGAAGAGCAGUAGACGGUGCCUGUCGAAUAAGCCACGGCUAACUACGUGCCAGCAGCCGCGGUAAUACGUAGGUGGCAAGCGUUGUCCGGAUUUAUUGGGUUUAAAGGGUUGGUAGGCGGGCAUUUAAGCCGGCGGUCAAAUUUCGGGGCCCAACCUCGGCCUGCCGUCGGAACUGGGUGUCUUGAGUGGGCGAGAAGUAUGCGGAAUGCGUGGUGUAGCGGUGAAAUGCAUAGAUAUCACGCAGAACCCCGAUUGCGAAGGCAGCAUACCGGCGCCCUACUGACGCUGAGGCACGAAAGUGUGGGUAUCGAACAGGAUUAGAUACCCGAGUAGUC